rnacentral:rRNA from 1 species
UACGAAGGGUGCAAGCGUUACUCGGAAUUACUGGGCGUAAAGCGUGCGUAGGUGGUUCGUUAAGUCUGAUGUGAAAGCCCUGGGCUCAACCUGGGAAUGGCAUUGGAAACUGGCGACCUAGAGUGCGGUAGAGGGUAGUGGAAUUCCCGGUGUAGCAGUGAAAUGCGUAGAGAUCGGGAGGAACAUCCGUGGCGAAGGCGCCGCUCUGGGCCGUAACUGACGCUGAGAAGCGAAAGCGUGGGGAGCAAACAGG